rnacentral:rRNA from 1 species
UCACAGAGUCAUAUCUCCAUGCAGUUUCCUGGUUUCUCCACUGAAGCUAAGCAGGGUUGAGUGUGGUCAGUACCUGGAUGGGAGACCUCCUAGGGUAAACUAAGGUUGCUGCUUGAA